CUCCAUGGUUGUUAAUGCAUCCAUGUCUUUGCGACCAAACUUCAGGCGAUAACCCUGCAGCGGGCCAAAAGUUUCCACUGGAGGAUGCCACUGAAUUAGAGCCGUGUUCAUCUGUGUGUGGCUAAUCACAAGCCGAGUUCUCAGGAACCCAGCAAAUCAGAUUGCUAUUGUCAGAAGGUCUAACUACCAUUCCACAAUGAAUUAGGAGUAAGGAGGGAAGAAUGGCAUGCCUUGAAGAAAAUUCUGCAUUUAGUAAGCUCUUUCCUCAUUACAUCUGUUCUGAAAUCUGUAUUUCAAGAGUGCUGUCCAGUAUGAAAGCAAAAGACAAGUAAUGGACAAGCUAUUGCCCUAUGAGAUUCUUCAACUACUGUGAC